rnacentral:lncRNA from 1 species
UUGUGCGCUUGCGCAAUGACCGCCAAGACGGGCGCGUGCGCGCUGGUGUCUAGGGCGAUGGGCGGGGUGUGGACGCCUUCGCUAUGGCAGCCCGCGAUCUUUCUCAGUCUUGGGCUUCCUGACGCCUCCAGCAAGCGAGGUCUCUUGGGCCGGUUUCGCAGUCAUGUACCCACCGCCGCCGCCGGCGCCUCACCGGGACUUCAUCUCGGUGACGCUGAGCCUGGGCGAGAGCUACGACAACAGCAAGAGCCGGCGGCGGCGCUCAUGCUGGAGGCGCUGAGUGGCAGACCUGCAGAAGAACAGAAGGUGAAGCCAGAAGUCCCACCUGCCCUACCAGCGCCUCAGAAGGAAAGAGCUAAACCAGAAGAUUUUCCAGAUAUAGUCCCUCAGGUAUUUCCAGUAAAGGCUAUGUGGAGUUGUCACUGGGGUCUGUUCUGGAGCAUUGCAAGUAGGCAAGUAUUGCCCAGAGAGGCUGAAGGCUUUUCCACUAUCACACUCAACCUCACACUGGCUCAGUUGAGGCUGUCUGUAUAAAGUUGGGGAAAGAAGAAGCAGACACUUGCUUCAUUCUCUUGGCACACCACCGUGGUCCAGCUUCUAUGUUAGGUGAUGGCUUCCCACUCAUAAGGAAAGAGACCUUUCUCUUUUGAGGAACCACAGGAGCUGAUAGGAAGGGCUGAUGAGAAACGAGCAGCAAAUAGGAUUGGACAGUUGGCUU